rnacentral:rRNA from 1 species
ACUCCUGCGGGAGGCAGCAGUGAGGAAUAUUGGACAAUGGGUGGAAGCCUGAUACAGCCAUCCCGCGUGCAGGAAGACGGCCCUAUGGGUUGUAAACUGCUUUUAUCUGGGGAUAAACCUACUUACGUGUAAGUAGCUGAAGGUACCAGAAGAAUAAGCACCGGCUAACUCCGUGCCAGCAGCCGCGGUAAUACGGAGGGUGCAAGCGUUAUCCGGAUUUAUUGGGUUUAAAGGGUCCGUAGGCGGACUGAUAAGUCAGUGGUGAAAUCCGACAGCUUAACUGUCGAACUGCCAUUGAUACUGUUAGUCUUGAGUAAGGUUGAAGUGGCUGGAAUAAGUAGUGUAGCGGUGAAAUGCAUAGAUAUUACUUAGAACACCAAUUGCGAAGGCAGGUCACUAAGUCUUAACUGACGCUGAUGGACGAAAGCGUGGGGAGCGAACAUGAUUAGAAACCCGAGUAGUCCC